GGAGGGACGGAGAAGGCUAGGCCAGCUUGGCGUUGGUUGUCCAAGUUUAAGGUGGUAGGCUGAAAUCUUAGGUAAAUCCGGGGUUUCAAGGCCGAGAGCUGAUGACGAGUCGUCUUUUAGAUGACGAAGUGGUUGAUGCCAUGCUUCCAAGAAAAGCUUCUAAGCUUCAGGUAACCAGGAACCGUACCCCAAACCGACACAGGUGGUCGGGUAGAGAAUACCAAGGCGCCUGAGAGAACUCGGGUGAAGGAACUAGGCAAAAUGGCACCGUAACUUCGGGAGAAGGUGCGCCGGCUAGGGUGAAGGAUUUACUCCGUAAGCUCUGGCUGGUCGAAGAUACCAGGCCGCUGCGACUGUUUAUUAAAAACACAGCACUCUGCGAACACGAAAGUGGACGUAUAGGGUGUGACGCCUGCCCGGUGCCGGAAGGUUAAUUGAUGGGGUUAGCGCAAGCGAAGCUCUUGAUCGAAGCCCCGGUAAACGGCGGCCGUAACAAUAACGGUCCUAAGGUAGCGAGAUUCCUUGUCGGGUAAGUUCCGACCUGCACGAAUGGCGUAACGAUGGCGGCGCUGUCUCCACCCGAGACUCAGUGAAAUUGAAAUCGCUGUGAAGAUGCAGUGUAUCCGCGGCUAGACGGAAAGACCCCGUGAACCUUUACUGUAGCUUUGCACUGGACUUUGAGCCUGCUUGUGUAGGAUAGGUGGGAGGCUUUGAAGCGUGGACGCCAGUUCGCGUGGAGCCAUCCUUGAAAUACCACCCUGGCAUGCUUGAGGUUCUAACUCUGGUCCGUAAUCCGGAUCGAGGACAGUGUAUGGUGGGCAGUUUGAUUGGGGCGGUCUCCUCCUAAAGAGUAACGGAGGAGUACGAAGGUGCGCUCAGACCGGUCGGAAAUCGGUCGCAGAGUAUAAAGGCAAAAGCGCGCUUGACUGCGAGACAGACACGUCGAGCAGGUACGAAAGUAGGUCUUAGUGAUCCGGUGGUUCUGUAUGGAAGGGCCAUCGCUCAACGGAUAAAAGGUACUCCGGGGAUAACAGGCUGAUACCGCCCAAGAGUUCAUAUCGACGGCGGUGUUUGGCACCUCGAUGUCGGCUCAUCACAUCCUGGGGCUGAAGCCGGUCCCAAGGGUAUGGCUGUUCGCCAUUUAAAGUGGUACGCGAGCUGGGUUUAGAACGUCGCGAGACAGUUCGGUCCCUAUCUGCCGUGGACGUUUGAGAUUUGAGAGGGGCUGCUCCUAGUACGAGAGGACCGGAGUGGACGAACCUCUGGUGUUCCGGUUGUCACGCCAGUGGCAUUGCCGGGUAGCUAUGUUCGGAAAAGAUAACCGCUGAAAGCAUCUAAGCGGGAAACUUGCCUCAAGAUGAGAUCUCACUGGGAACUUGAUUCCCCUGAAGGGCCGUCGAAGACUACGACGUUGAUAGGCUGGGUGUGUAAGCGUUGUGAGGCGUUGAGCUAACCAGUACUAAUUGCCCGUGAGGCUUGACGG
rnacentral:rRNA from 1 species